GGACUGCAAUGUGGACUUAAAGAGUAUAGAAGAACUACCUGGGAAGGUAGGCCAAAGAGAGUAAUAGCCUCGUAUUUAAAAUAUUUUUUAUACCUAGCAGUAUCCUGAGUACGGCGAGACACGCGAAAUCUCGUCGGAAUCCGGGAGGACCAUCUCCCAACCCUAAAUACUCUCUAGUGACCGAUAGUGAACCAGUACCGUGAGGGAAAGGUGAAAAGUACCCCGGAAGGGGAGUGAAAUAGAACCUGAAACCGUGUGCCUACAACAAGUUCGAGCCCGUUAAUGGGUGAGAGCGUGCCUUUUGUAGAAUGAACCGGCGAGUUACGAUAUGAUGCGAGGUUAAGUUGAAGAGACGGAGCCGUAGGGAAACCGAGUCUUAAUAGGGCGGAUUAGUAUUAUGUCGUAGACCCGAAACCAUGUGACCUACCCAUGAGCAGGUUGAAGGUGCGGUAAGACGCACUGGAGGACCGAACCAGGGCACGUUGAAAAGUGCUUGGAUGACUUGUGGGUAGCGGAGAAAUUCCAAACGAACUUGGAGAUAGCUGGUUCUCUCCGAAAUAGCUUUAGGGCUAGCGUCGACAUUUGAGAAUCUUGGAGGUAGAGCACUGUUUGGAUGAGGGGGCCAUCUCGGUUUACUGAUUUCAGAUAAACUCCGAAUGCCAAUGAUUUAUGGUCGGCAGUCAGACUGCGAGUGCUAAGAUCCGUAGUCGAAAGGGAAACAGCCCAGACCACCAGCUAAGGUCCCAAAAUAAUUGUUAAGUGGAAAAGGAUGUGGGGUUGCACAGACAACUAGGAUGUUAGCUUAGAAGCAGCUAUUCAUUCAAAGAGUGCGUAAUAGCUCACUAGUCGAGUGACCCUGCGCCGAAAAUGUACCGGGGCUAAAACAAUUUACCGAAGCUGUGGAUAACACUUUAGUGUUAUGGUAGGAGAGCGUUCUAUGUGUGAAGAAGGUAUACCGUGAGGAGUGCUGGAACGCAUAGAAGUGAGAAUGCCGGUAUGAGUAGCGAAAGAUGGGUGAGAAUCCCAUCCACCGUAAGACUAAGGUUUCCAGGGGAAGGCUCGUCCGCCCUGGGUUAGUCGGGACCUAAGGAGAGACCGAAGGGUGUAUCCGAUGGACAACAGGUUGAUAUUCCUGUACUAGAGUAUGAAGUGAUGGAGGGACGCAGUAGGCUAACUAAAGCGGGCGAUUGGAAGUGCCCGUCUAAGCAGUGAGGUGUGAUAUGAGUCAAAUGCUUGUAUCUGUAACAUUGAGCUGUGAUGGGGAGCGAAGUUAAGUAGCGAAGUUAGUGACGUCACACUGCCGAGAAAAGCUUCUAGCGAUGUAUCAUACUCUACCCGUACCGCAAACCGACACAGGUAGUCGAGGCGAGUAGCCUCAGGUGAGCGAGAGAACUCUCGUUAAGGAACUCGGCAAAAUGACCCCGUAACUUCGGGAGAAGGGGUGCUGGCUUAAAGUCAGCCGCAGUGAAUAGGCCCAAGCAACUGUUUAUCAAAAACACAGCUCUCUGCUAAAUCGUAAGAUGAUGUAUAGGGGGUGACGCCUGCCCGGUGCUGGAAGGUUAAGAGGAGGGUUUAGCGCAAGCGAAGAUCUGAAUUGAAGCCCCAGUAAACGGCGGCCGUAACUAUAACGGUCCUAAGGUAGCGAAAUUCCUUGUCGGGUAAGUUCCGACCCGCACGAAAGGCGUAAUGAUUUGGGCACUGUCUCAACGAGAGACUCGGUGAAAUUUUAGUACCUGUGAAGAUGCAGGUUACCCGCGACAGGACGGAAAGACCCCAUGGAGCUUUACUGCAGUUUGAUAUUGAGUAUCUGUACCACAUGUACAGGAUAGGUAGGAGCCUACGAAGUCGGGACGCCAGUUUCGACUGAGGCGCUGUUGGGAUACUACCCUUGUGUUAUGGCUACUCUAACCCGGAUAGGUUAUCCCUAUCGGAGACAGUGUCUGACGGGCAGUUUGACUGGGGCGGUCGCCUCCUAAAAGGUAACGGAGGCGCCCAAAGGUUCCCUCAGAAUGGUUGGAAAUCAUUCGCAGAGUGUAAAGGUAUAAGGGAGCUUGACUGCGAGAGCUACAACUCGAGCAGGGACGAAAGUCGGGCUUAGUGAUCCGGUGGUUCCGUAUGGAAGGGCCAUCGCUCAACGGAUAAAAGCUACCCUGGGGAUAACAGGCUUAUCUCCCCCAAGAGUUCACAUCGACGGGGAGGUUUGGCACCUCGAUGUCGGCUCGUCGCAUCCUGGGGCUGUAGUCGGUCCCAAGGGUUGGGCUGUUCGCCCAUUAAAGCGGCACGCGAGCUGGGUUCAGAACGUCGUGAGACAGUUCGGUCCCUAUCCGUCGCGGGCGUAGGAAAUUUGAGAGGAUCUGCUCCUAGUACGAGAGGACCAGAGUGGACUUACCGCUGGUGUACCAGUUGUCUUGCCAAAGGCAUCGCUGGGUAGCUAUGUAGGGACGGGAUAAACGCUGAAAGCAUCUAAGUGUGAAACCCACCUCAAGAUGAGAUUUCCCAUAACUUUAUGUUAGU
rnacentral:rRNA from 1 species